rnacentral:rRNA from 1 species
AGAGUUUGAUCCUGGCUCAGGAUGAACGCUGGCGGCGUGCUUAACACAUGCAAGUCGAACGAAGCACUUUAUUUGAUUUCCUUCGGGAUUGAUUAUUUUGUGACUGAGUGGCGGACGGGUGAGUAACGCGUGGGUAACCUGCCUUGUACAGGGGGAUAACAGUUGGAAACGGCUGCUAAUACCGCAUAAGCGCACAGCAUCGCAUGAUGCAGUGUGAAAAACUCCGGUGGUAUAAGAUGGACCCGCGUUGGAUUAGCUAGUUGGUGAGGUAACGGCCCACCAAGGCGACGAUCCAUAGCCGACCUGAGAGGGUGACCGGCCACAUUGGGACUGAGACACGGCCCAAACUCCUACGGGAGGCAGCAGUGGGGAAUAUUGCACAAUGGGCGAAAGCCUGAUGCAGCGACGCCGCGUGAGCGAAGAAGUAUUUCGGUAUGUAAAGCUCUAUCAGCAGGGAAGAUAAUGACGGUACCUGACUAAGAAGCACCGGCUAAAUACGUGCCAGCAGCCGCGGUAAUACGUAUGGUGCAAGCGUUAUCCGGAUUUACUGGGUGUAAAGGGAGCGCAGGCGGUGCGGCAAGUCUGAUGUGAAAGCCCGGGGCUCAACCCCGGUACUGCAUUGGAAACUGUCGUACUAGAGUGUCGGAGGGGUAAGCGGAAUUCCUAGUGUAGCGGUGAAAUGCGUAGAUAUUAGGAGGAACACCAGUGGCGAAGGCGGCUUACUGGACGAUAACUGACGCUGAGGCUCGAAAGCGUGGGGAGCAAACAGGAUUAGAUACCCUGGUAGUCCACGCCGUAAACGAUGA